rnacentral:tRNA from 1 species
ACCUGGGUGGCUCAGUUGGUUAAGCAUCUGACUUUGGCUCAGGUCAUGAUCUCACAGUUCAUGGGUUCAAGCCCCGCAUCAGGUG